rnacentral:tRNA from 1 species
AGGUGUUAGUUUAUUAAAAUAUUAAUUUUGGAGAUUAAAGAUAAUUUUUUUAUUACACCUGA